UCCAGGGGACUAAUUUAGAUUUUCCUG
rnacentral:piRNA from 1 species